rnacentral:rRNA from 1 species
CACGUAGGGGGCGAGCGUUGUCCGGAAUCAUUGGGCGUAAAGAGCUCGUAGGCGGCUCAGUAAGUCGGGUGUGAAACCCUCAGGCUCAACCUGGGGACGCCACCCGAUACUGCUGUGGCUAGAGUCCAGUAGGGGAGUGUGGAAUUCCCGGUGUAGCGGUGAAAUGCGCAGAUAUCGGGAGGAACACCAGCGGCGAAGGCGGCACUCUGGGCUGGUACUGACGCUGAGGAGCGAAAGCGUGGGUAGCGAACAGG